AGACCCGAAACCCGGUGAUCUAGCCAUGGGCAGGUUGAAGGUUGGGUAACACUAACUGGAGGACCGAACCGACUAAUGUUGAAAAAUUAGCGGAUGACCUGUGGCUGGGGGUGAAAGGCCAAUCAAACCGGGAGAUAGCUGGUUCUCCCCGAAAGCUAUUUAGGUAGCGCCUCGUGAAUUCAUCUCCGGGGGUAGAGCACUGUUUCGGCUAGGGGGCCAUCCCGGCUUACCAACCCGAUGCAAACUGCGAAUACCGGAGAAUGUUAUCACGGGAGACACACGGCGGGUGCUAACGUCCGUCGUGAAGAGGGAAACAACCCAGACCGCCAGCUAAGGUCCCAAAGUCAUGGUUAAGUGGGAAACGAUGUGGGAAGGCCCAGACAGCCAGGAUGUUGGCUUAGAAGCAGCCAUCAUUUAAAGAAAGCGUAAUAGCUCACUGGUCGAGUCGGCCUGCGCGGAAGAUGUAACGGGGCUAAACCAUGCACCGAAGCUGCGGCAGCGACACUUU
rnacentral:rRNA from 1 species